rnacentral:rRNA from 1 species
ACACGACUACAUUAGACUACCCGUGUAGUCCUAGCCGUAAACGAUACUCGCUAGGUGUCGGCCACGGUGCGACCGUUGUCGGUGCCGUAGGGAAGCCGUGAAGCGAGCCACCUGGGAAGUACGGCCGCAAGGCUAGAAACUUAAAGGAAUUGGCGGGGGAGCACCACAACGGGUGGAGCUUGCGGUUUAAUUGGAUUCAACGCCGGAAAUCUUACCGGGACCGACAGCAACAUGAAGGCCAGGCUGAAGACUUUGCCGGAUUAGCUG